GCCGGGGUAGCUCAGUUGGUUAGAGCGCAGCACUCAUAACGCUGAGGUUCGUGGGUUCGAUCCCCACCCCCGGCA
rnacentral:tRNA from 1 species